rnacentral:rRNA from 1 species
GUGCCAGCAGCCGCGGUAAUACGGAGGGUGCAAGCAUUAAUCGGAAUUACUGGGCGUAUAGGGCGCGUAGGCGGUUUUGUAAGUCAGAUGUGAAAUACUGGGGCUCAACCUCGGUGCUGCAUUUGAAACUGCAAGGCUGGAGGAUGGAUGGAGAGAACGGAAUUCCACGUGUAGCGGUGAAAUGCGUAGAUAUGUGGAAGAACACCGGUGGCGAAGGCGGUUCUCUAAUUUAUUCCUGACGCUGAGGCGCGAAAGCAAGGGGAGCAAACAGGAUUAGAUACCCUGGUAGUCCUUGCCGUAAACGAUGCAUACUAGAUGUAGUUGGGCUCAACCCCGACUGUGUCGUAGCUAACGCGAUAAGUAUGCCGCCUGAGGAGUACACUCGCAAGGGUGAA